UUUUAUUGUUUUACCUUGUUUUGGUUUCAACCCGUCCAGUUGGUGGCGGCAAUACACCUUUUGGGGUUGUAGUCCGCCAUAAAAUCCACAGAAGAAGAAGAUAUUUUCUGAAACAGGGAAGAGAAGGCUGUCAUAGUAUAUGCAAGGCUUGUAGCCGUGGCGUUUCUCAGGGGCAUACAUUGUGUUGUACUGACUGCAGAUUCUUGGUACCAACAUGAGAGCUGGAGGCAUCUUGAAGUUUGCUGCAUUGGUUUCGGUCUUUUUCCUGGCAGUUUUCCUUGCCUUCCAGCUGCUGGAAAUUAAUAUGGACUUCAAUUUGGGGAAUGU